rnacentral:rRNA from 1 species
UACGGGGGGGAGCAAGCGUUGUUCGGAUUUACUGGGCGUAAAGGGCGCGUAGGUGGUUGAUCAAGUCUGGGGUGAAAUCUUUCGGCUUAACCGGAAAAGUGCCUUGGAUACUGAUCAGCUGGAGGGAGGUAGGGGCAGUUGGAACUUCCAGUGGAGCGGUGAAAUGCGUUGAUAUUGGAAGGAACGCCGGUGGCGAAAGCGAGCUGCUGGACCUCUUCUGACACUGAGGCGCGAAAGCUAGGGGAGCAAACGGG